GGAGUUAAGAAAUGUAAGUACGUUAAUACCGUACUUAUUUGACAAAGGCUCCAAAGGAAGCCACGGCUAACUCUGUGCCAGCAGCCGCGGUAAUACAGAGGUGGCGAGCGUUGUUCGGAAUUAUUGGGCGUAAAGAGCACGUAGGUGGGUUUGCAAGUCAGAUGUGAAAGCCUUCUGUUCAACGGAAGAAUUGCAUCUGAAACUGCUAAUAUUGAGUGUAGGAGGGGAGAGUGGAACUUCUGGU
rnacentral:rRNA from 1 species